rfam:Aphanomyces invadans strain NJM9701 unplaced genomic scaffold supercont1.27, whole genome shotgun sequence.
AUCAAAUUAGUGGAAUAGGUAAACACGUUACACUUAGGAUGCAACAUUUAAGGGUUCGAGUCCCUUCUUUGAUA